rnacentral:rRNA from 1 species
UACGUAGGGUGCAAGCGUUAAUCGGAAUUACUGGGCGUAAAGCGUGCGCCGGCGGCUUUGCAAGACAGAUGUGAAAUCCCCGGGCUCAACCCGGGAACUGCGUCCGAUACUGGCAGGCUUGAAUCCGGGAGAGGGAUGCGGAAUUCCAGGUGUAGCGGUGAAAUGCGUAGAUAUCUGGAGGAACACCGGUGGCGAAGGCGGCAUCCUGGACCGGCAUUGACGCUGAGGCGCGAAAGCCAGGGGAGCAAACGGG